rnacentral:lncRNA from 1 species
UUUUUUUUUUUUUUUUUUAAUCUUUUUGCCAUUUCUUGGGCCACUCCCGCGGUAUAUGGAGGUUCCCAGGCUAGGGGUCUAAACGGAGCUGUAGCUGCCAGCCUACACCAGAGACACAGCAACGCGGGAUCUGAUCCGCGUCUGCAACCUACACCACAGCUCAGGGCAAUGCUGGAUCCUUAACCCACUGAGCAAGGCCAGGGAUCAACCCGCAACCUCAUGGUUCCUGGUCGGAUUCGUUAACCACUGCGCCACGACAGGAACUCCAGGAUUUCCUUUCUUCUUUAGGAUGGAUUGGAACAUGAGUCUAUUUUAUAUAGAACUGUAACCAUUUGUGAUUUUUAUAAUUACUAAAGAUUAAAAAAGUGAGAUUUAUUCCAGAUAUAAAUGCCAGAAGAACUUCUCUCAUUUUGCCCCUCUCACAUAGAUUUCAAGGCCUAUGUGAAUCUGUGGAUAGUUUUUUGCCUUUCAAUUACACUUGUACCAACAAAUGUCAAUAUGAGCACUACAGCCAAAGAAAGAAAAAAAUUUAAACUGGAACAUCUCUAGCUUGCUGAAAGAGUUAGUAGACCAUAUGUUUGCUUAAAAUUCCCAUGUGACUAUAGGUGUCAAUAGCGUACAGAGUGCUCCUUGAAGUUGAAAUUACCCUCAAUACCCAGGCAGGAAAAAUGAUGUGAGCUAACUUACUUGGUUGAGUUUUGUGACUGUAUGUACAUGACAUUGAUGAGAGAAACAGGUAGAUUGAAAGGUAUUCUCUCUGUUCUCUUCUCCUGCCCUCACUCCCGCUGGGAGACCCCCUAGCACUCCUGACUAAUGACUCCCAAAUCUCUCACCUGUAUCACUUGACAGGUCUGUACCUUGAACUCCAGGCCACAGCUGAAACUGGCGCCAUGGGUCCCUAAAGCUCAUUAUGUCCAAAAGUUAAAUGCACUAUUCUCUUUACCUAAUCAUACUGACCCCCCAUCUUAUGUCUUAGAUUAGUGAUCUACUAUUCAGACAGUUACACAGGACUGAAAUCUCUUAUUGCUUCCCAGGAAUUCUUGAAUAUGUGACAAUGUCCAUAUUCCAGCACUCCUAUAAAUGAUGAUGGCAGAGAAGUAAGAUCAUAGCAAAGAAUUAAUUAUCUAUUUUAAGAAAGUCCUUUGAUUUGAGCAGGGUUUUGAUAGUUAAAAAGAGUGUGCAGGGUUUUGAUAGUUGAAGAGUAUGAAUAUAUAGUAUAACCAAUCACAGUUGAAAAAUCCACUUCAAGUGUGCAUUAGUUUUUGUGGCUCAGGGAUGCUUUUCCUUUUUUUUUUUUUUUUUUAACUACUAACUGAAUUCUAGAUUUAUUUUAUUUUCAAUAGUUUUCCUCUUUCUGUUCCAGGAUCUAAUCCAGGGUAGCAUAUAGCAUUUAGUUGCUGAAUCUCCAGAUUCUCUUCUGUUCUGUGAUAGUCUCUCAGUCUUUCCCCAUCUUUCACAGCCUUGACAGCUUUGAGGAGGUGGUCAGGCAUUUGUACAAUGUCCCUCAGUUUGUGUGGUUCUGAUAUUUAUCUCAUGAUUGUACUGGAAAUUUGAUUUUUGGAAAGAACGUCUCAGAGGCGAGGAGGCUUUAUUAUGUACUAGCAGGGGAGACAUGCUAUCUGUAUGACUUGAUGGGAAUGUUAGCCUUCAUCAUCUGGUUAAGGUGGUAUCUGGCAGGGUUCUCCACCUGAAAGCUACUAUUUUUCCCUUUCUAUACUCUAUCAUGAAUGCAUUUUUAUCUUAAAAGUCUCAAAUUUUCUAUCAAAAUUUUUAUUUGCUUACUUUUCUCUCUUAAAAUUUGUAGCACAUAGCACCUUCUUCCAGGAAAAGGGGAAAGCAAACUUAUUUUAAUUUCUUCCUGGAAUAUAACGUAAUCCAACAUUACCUUUUCAAUAAAUAUUUUUAAAUAUUAAAAUAUAGCUCAAGCCAGUGCUGACUGUUCCAUAUAGAACAUUUACAUCAAUAUCAUGACUCAUAAUUGUAAUGCGUUUGAGCUACUCUUGUCAUUGAUUGACUAGGUUUCCUAGAACUUAUAAUAGCUCACUUAUAUGGAUGGUAUUUAUGACAUUAAUCAAUCAAGAAUGCACUCAGAAAUACCCCCCCUUUUAUACAGAAAAGCAUUGUAAUAUAUUUACAUGACUUUUGGAAAAGUUUUAGCAGAAAGAAACAUAUCUGAAAUAUAUGUGAUGAGUUCUAAUUUACAUCAGUUAGAGGAAAAUAUUAAUAUAAAAGCUUAAUUUUACUUAAAUUAUAGAUUACUCCAAACUUCCUCUUUGUCAGUUAAAAAAAAUGUGUAUUCAAUAAAACAUUAUCUGAGAUAAUUUUUAAAUGAAGUGUUUUUAUAUAUUCCCUUUUUUUAAUGGCCAUCUAGCUGAGGAUUUGUCAGCCAUGUUCACCUGAGCUAUAGCUAUUUCUUCCCGAUCCACUAAGGCUGAAUAGAAUGUUUGCAGAUAUGACUCAUGCCUAAUAGAAACAAGGUCAAAUAAUUGGAACAUUACAUUUAUACUAAUAAUACUAGACUCAUAAUAAUUAUGUAAGGAGAUUUACUUUACAUUUUGAUAAGCUCUCCAGGAUUAUAUAAAGCCAUAUCUUGUAUCUGUAGAAUAUUUGUGUAAUUGCAAAUUACACAGAUUACAGCAGCAAAUGAUUAAUUUUUGAAACCUGGAGUUACACGUUAAGUAUGUAAAAGAGACACCAACUUACAGAAAAGUGACGUUUACUGCUGGAAUGUAGGCACGUCUGGUGAUGGACUUCAAGAGCCUGUUUCAUCCAAAGUUCUGUUAGACAGUGGGGUAGAAGGCAGCAUUUUGGUGUUCAUGAGACAGGGGUUGCAUAAAAAAAGGAAUCCUUCCAGCUUCUGUGGGUAACGAAACAGGGCUUCUGCUGCAUCUGUAGUUCAAGAACAGGGCGUUAUGUUGGCACUAAGGUUUGAAGACAUUAGCUGUGACUGUGGAGGCACUGACAAUGCCCAGCUGUGGGAGCAUCAGCUAGUGGCUGAGAUGACACCAGUGAUGUUCUGUGUAUGCUAUUGUAAGUUAAGUGCCAGACUGUGGCUAGACGACUUCUCAGCAGUCUAGUUGGUAGAGACUGAAGAAGAUGGAUGGGCCUGAGGUCAUCUGAGCCAAUUUUUCAUUUUUCCAUGUUAUAAUGCUCAGUAGGGAUGGUACAAACCCUUGGCUGACUGUCAAGAAUCUGACACAUAUUAUCAACACCAGCAACAAAACUGGGAAUAAAUGUUUAAAGUACAGACAGGAAGAAUUUGAUAAUCACUCAAUGGUAUCUCCAACCACAAUCUCCAUUUCUUAAAUAGUUAAUGGCAACAAAUGAAAUAAGGCAUCUUACAACAUGCAUUUAUUUUAUUGGAUUUUUUUUCUCCUGAUAGGGCAAUAUCUUCAAAAAUGUUAAGUGUGGUACACAGAUUGACCACUUGGUGUCAGGAGCUACUAACUGUUCUUGUAAAGGAACCGGCUUUUCGGUCUCAAAAAGAAACACAGAGUAUUUUAAAUGAUUUGCCUUCUUAAUUUUCUCCAACUUUGAUGCUUUGACUACUCAACAUUAUAAUACAACUCCCAAGAAUUUGGCUCAAGAUUUUCCUAAUUAGAACUUUUCUGAAUUUAAUGUUAAGAUAUUAAUAAAUCUCUACUGCAUAUUAAUUUAAAAUUUGUGUGGAGGAGUUAGUUCCCUUUGUGGCUCAGUGGGUUAAGAACCCAACUAGUAUCCAUGAGGGUGUAGGUUCAAUCCCUGGCCUCGAUCAGUGGGUUAUGAUUCAUCAUUGCUGUGAGCUGUAUGGUAGGCUGCAGACAUGGCUCAGAUCCCAUGAUGCUCCUGCUACAGCGUAGGCAACAGCUACAGCUCUACUUCGACCCCUAGCCUGGAAACUUCCAUAUGCAGCAGGUGCAGCCCUUAAAAAAAAAAAAAAAAAAGCAAAUGUAUCAAUCUGUUUGCGGAGUUAGGUGUAGUAACCACUCUAGAGAUACUUGGAUAUAUAUCCUCUUCUAUACAGCGACAGGGUUGGUCUAGAAAGAUUAGGGUACAAUAGAAAGGAAAGGAGCUUUGGAGUCAAGCAACCCUAGCUUUAAGGCCCAGCCAAUUUUGAGCUAUGUGAUCUUAGACAAGUAACUUGAGUUUCAAUCUCCUCAUUUGAAAAAUGAGAAAAGUAAUAUCCACCUAACAGAAUGACUGUGCUGAUUAAUUGAUGUAAUAACUAUGUGUUAAGUGUCCAAACCUGGUGUCAGGCACAGAGCUGGCCCUUAAACUACAUUGAAUAUUAUUUUACAGUUAUGUAACAAAUAGAUAUGCCUACUUGAACAUUCUAUGAUUCAAGUAUCUAGAUUUUCUAGGAUUUUCUUCACUCUUUGUUAAAUCCAGUUCAAUAAGGAAUCAAAAUAUAUCAGUAUCAGAUGACAGUUUUAUUACAUUAUUAUUUCAGCUUGCAAAAUUAUUUUGAAAUAUUAGAAAUACAUUAAUCAAAUCAUUUUAUGCCAUUUCAUCAAUACUAUAUCAUACAUUAACACUAGAGUUUAUUUAGAGAAUUUUGACACUUUUUUUCUUUUGUAUGUCAUAUGUUCCAACUUACAGAUCUCAGUACUUUUAAAAUUUUACUUUGUCCUCAAAUCUAUACUGUUUUUAUUUUUCCAUGAUCCAAAAAUUGAAAAAUAUAUCCUAAAAUAAAAAAAACAAAUGUGGUUCCAGAAAAUCUGAUGAUAGGAAAAUGAGAGAACGUACCUAAGUUAGGCUUCACCCAUGUCACUCCAUUCUGAUUGACAAGAAAGGAUCUGAGGUGGGGCAAGGAUGAAAAAAUGUGUUCCCAAGUAGACAAGGUUUAGCUUGGAUUUGCAAUCAGGCAGACAUAAGUUCAAAUCCCUGAUUUGUCACUUACUUGCUGUGAUACCCCGUUUAAGGUACCAGUUCUCUCUGAGCCUUGGUACAUAAUAGAAAUACAUACUGUGAUAUGAUGAGUUGAUGAGAAAUUAUAUGUCAGUCUCUCGUAUCUAGUCUAUAUUUAGAAUUAAUUAGAUUGGUAGAUAGGGUAGAUAGAUAGUUUAUGGCCAGAGUUUCCUUCUGGAGACCCUGUGAUUUUCCCUUCCCAACACAGCACAAAUGUCCUUAUCCUGGACCUUCAUCUCCUGAGCUUUGGAUGGUUCUGUAUUUCAAGUUCCUCAGAUAUUCCCUCUGGUGAGACAUGAAUAAUAAGGCCUAGAUUCUUCUUAAUUCAUAAUCUCUCAAUAAGUGUCCUUCAUCAGCCCUACAAGACCCCACAGAGUUCGCCCAGCCUAGGUUCCUUCUAUUUUCCUGAAAAUUCAGGUUUAUAAUUCAAUUAACACUUACUGGAAAGCCAAGAUUAAGAGUUGAGUGAAGGUACAAAACUUUAAAAUGUGGAGGUUCUCGGCCUCACCCCUACAACUACCAGCAAACUAUUUGGACACCACUCAUUUAGCAUCAUUCAUACCCUGACGUCUGGAGAGAAAGAACCAGAUCUCGCCUUACCUGUUCUCAUGAGGAAAAGCAAUCACAGUGAAAGAACUCUUCUCCCAAGGCUGCAUGUUGGGGCAUGAGGAGGGAGGGCACAGUUCACACAGUAGAAAAGCACAGAGGUAAGCAGGACUAAUAUGGUAGAGAUUUGGGACUACGGUAAUAGAGAAUUACUCUGGAAAGGUAGGGUAGGUAGGUAUUUCAAGAAUGUAGAGAAAAGGAAAAGGAUCAAUUAUUUUAAUUAAUUUUCAUGAAUCACAGGCUUGGAUUUUCAUAAAUGUUUGAGAUACUUAAGGAAACAUUGAGCUGUCAUUCUCUAGAAGGUCACAACUUUUCAGCAUAAAUUCUUUGAAGGGAGGAGUGAGUGGGGGAUACAACCCAGUUUACUAUAGAUUAAUAAUAUUAUAUUAUAUCUGGCCCUCACAAUGGGUUUUCAACAGGAUUGUACAAAUUGGGAGCUUUUGGUAAAAUUGGAUCCAGAAUCAAUCAUGAUAGCUCUCGGUGCGAUAGCUGAGAGGACGAUGUGGAUAAUGCUUAAAUUUAAAUUAUACUUUUUGAAAGAACAGAUUUUUGAACUAAAUUAGCCAGUUGAAGAACCAGAUUUAGGCACCGCUAUGUCAAUGAAAAUGUUCAAAAAUCUUAAUAGAGUUAUGACCACAAAAUUAUUUUUAAUUCUUGAUCCAUAAAUAUGCCUACUUUUAUUAGAGAUGUGGGAAGACAAGAAAUCAUUGUGGAGAGUCAGAAACUAUCUCAAGACAAGUUCUAAAUCUUAGUCCAGUCCUACAAGCUGAGACCAAAUAUUAUGCAUUUUUAGUUCUUUCUGUAGGGCUGGCAAACAGAAUUUGUAUCUACUAGUACCCAAACUGGGAAAAUACAGAGAGAGGUCUCUUCCAGAGAUGGAGGAAAAGAAUUUUGAGUGAGGCUUGAAUGGCUCCUAGAAAUAACACAAGGACAGACAACUUCGGGCAGCAAAAUUCAGCACCUCUGCAAGAUCUCAAAUGGCCUUGUAGGAAGAAUUCUGUGUGUGGACUGGACUCAACACCAAUUAAACUAGUGCUUCCAUGAAGUUCUGCCCAGUGUCCUAGAAUAUGGAUACAGGAGGAUUUGCAUUGACUGGAAUUUCUAUAAUGACAUGUAACAGUUCCUUACAAUGGAUUACACUAGAUGCACAUAAGAGAAUCACCUCAAUGUGCUAUAUAAAGAGGCUCUUAGGAAAAGAAACACUAAGGUAAAUUUCUUGAAGAGUUGUAUGGUUCAAGGGAACAACCCAAAUUCUUGUUUGUAAAUACAAUCAGGACUAAGGAAAAGAGGAAGCAGUAUCCAGUG